rnacentral:rRNA from 1 species
CCGUAACUAUAACGGUCCUAAGGUAGCGAAAUUCCUUGUCGGGUAAGUUCCGACCCGCACGAAAGGCGUAACGAUUUGGGCACUGUCUCAACGAGGGGCCCGGUGAAAUUGAAAUACCUGUGAAGAUGCAGGUUACCCGCGACUGGACAGAAAGACCCCAUGGAGCUUUACUGCAACUUGAGAUUGAAUCUCGGUGACAGACGCACAGGAUAGGUGGGAGACUACGAAAUAUUAUCUUUGGAUGAUAUGGAGUCGCCGUUGGGAUACCACCCUUCUGUUGCUGAGAUUCUAACGCGAAGAGUAACGACCUUGCGGACAGUCUCAGGCGGGCAGUUUGACUGGGGCGGUCGCCUCCGAAAGAGUAACGGAGGCGCCCAAAGGUUCCCUCAGGUCGGACAGAAACCGACCGAAGAGUGCAAAGGCAGAAGGGAGCUUGACUGCGAGACAGACAAGUCGAGCAGAGACGAAAGUCGGGCUUAGUGAUCCGGUGGUACUGUGUGGAAAGGCCAUCGCUCAACGGAUAAAAGCUACCCUGGGGAUAACAGGCUAAUCUCUCCCAAGAGUUCAUAUCGACGGGGAGGUUUGGCACCUCGAUGUCGGCUCAUCACAUCCUGGGGCUGGAGUAGGUCCCAAGGGUUGGGCUGUUCGCCCAUUAAAGUGGUACGCGAGCUGGGUUCAAAACGUCGUGAGACAGUUUGGUUCAUAUCCAUCGCGGGCGCAAGAAGUUUGAAGGGAGCUGCUCCUAGUACGAGAGGACCGGAGUGGACGGAUCAAUGGUGUACCGGUUGUCGUGCCAACGGCAUGGCCGGAAAGCUACAUCCGGAAGGGAUAAACGCUGAAAGCAUCUAAGUGUGAAGCCCACCUUAAGAUGAGACUUCUCAUCAGAAAUGAGUAAGAUUCCUUAUAGACUAUGAGGUAGAUAGGCUGCAAGUGGAAGAGCCGUAAGGUUUGGAGCGAUGCAGUACUAAUAGAUCGAGGUCUUAACUAA